CCGGCCCCACCCCCGAAAGUCCACCGUGCCUUUCAGAACGGGCGGCCGUUCUCCCCGAAUACGGUGGUGUUUGCUGGGGAGCAGCAAAAACAGACGGGCAGGCAGCCGCACCUCCGGGGGGGCUGGAAGCCGGACAGCGGGUGCUCCGCGCAGUGGGACCCCCGCACCGCCUUUGGGGUCGCGCCUGCGGGAGCACAUUCUCACCCCGGAGAGUGAGGUUACAGACUGGAGAAGAUUUUUAUCUGAGAAAACCUCAUUCAAGAUGAAGCUAUAAGAAGCGGCAUCUGCUAGCGGAGCCUCCAAGGUAGACCCAGGACCCCACUCUGGCUGUGCACAACGCUGAACAGAGGCAGUGCAUGAUUACAAAGGGAUGGUGACUGAAAGGUGCUUUUUCCACAUGAGUGCAAGAGGAGUAGACAGUUAAAAGAAGUGACUGCUGUGGAGGACAGCGUGACCACCAUGAGAGGAAGCUGCCUCCUCACACUGCUCUUGGCAGGACUUGGGGUUUUAGGAAUACUGGAGUCAACAACAACAGAAGACACCCACUGCCACAGAGCUGAGCACCCCAUUAUUGCAU